GUACGUUGCUCCAGACUGCCAUUCAUUUUUGCUGCUUUAUUUUAUCAGUAUGUAAUCCUAAAGUUUUCAAAUCAGACUGCACAUAGCGCACAUUCACUGGAUAAUAUCGAGCAAUAAUUGUAUGUUGGGGAAUGAAUUCAAGUUUGAAUCUUAAAUGUUGGCCAGAGUUUCUUCAUGUUACGUUCGAGUGUAUUACACGUGUGCGUAAAUUCAGAUGAUAUUAUUAUCAGCUUGUCCAACGAGCCUGUUUAGAGGUGCAUACGGUAAUAGAUUUUCGUAACCCUUUUAAUGGUACUGCGGAACUGAAAAUGAAAAUUGUAACAUUACGUGGUGUCCCCAGCACGAUCCCGUGUUCGCCUUCACUGUGAAUAGGUAGGCAACUUCCCGACCUAGGAACACGUUUAUUUGUAUCCAGUCGCCUUACUUUUUCCAUCAUUAUGAUAAUCCUUGAUCCCCAUCAUGGCGCGAUGUU